CCUGAUUCACUUAUUUCUCAGUAACUCACAUAAGAGAAAUGCCUUUUAUACCAGGCAAGAGCAGUAAUUUAACAUGAGUGCACAUUCCAUCCACAUAUUGUUGUCAGAAACUGUUACUAAGGCAGCAGUGGAACGGGAGGAGCAGUGCUUUGUGCCAGGCUACAGUUUUCUUCCUUGCUGCUUUUGGGAAGGAAGGGCACCUACUUCUUCUCUUCCUUUGAGAAGUUAGGCUGCAACCUUUCAUAUCUCCAGAAUGCAGCCUCUGGUCCAUUCAGCUGGGAAAGCUCCCUUCUUGUCCAGAUUAUCUGUGUUCAAAAAAAAAAAAAAAAAGACGUUAAAAAUCCCAGAAGAUUGUAAAUUAAGUUGUUUUUGAAUGAAAAGUGAUUAUUCUGACUGGUAAGCUGGACAUGUAUAUCUCAGUCUCUCCCGCCUCUUCUUGUAUUUGCCAAAGCACUUCUAUUAUGCUCUGAUUCUGGAGAGUAGAUCCUGCCACUGCAGCUAGUCAAGAUGGAAUGCAGAAAUAAACCCAGAGCAAGGCAGCUUGAAAUCGUCAGUGGUAGUGCCAAAACAAUGCUGGGAUGGGGUCAAAAACAAAUGUGAGUUUUGGUUAGUUUGGGUUUGGUGAUCUCAAAUCUUGGCACAGAGGAAACACUAAAUGAGAAAGAUGAACAUAAACAAUGGAUUAUAAAUCAUCCCUGCAUUGGCCUGAUUCUCCUUUAUGAUUACUAGCAAUCAAGGUCUUUGCAACAUGGCCAGCUGUGCUUAUGUGAGAGAGUUCUGUUAUCUCCAUCACUUCUCACUUGUCAUAUAUAUGGAGCUUACAGUACCUGAAUGUGGAUUAAGAAAUACUCUCAGACUAGACCAUGGAUCAACUUCUCAGGCAUCAAUUUCACCUAUGAAAUUUUGGGUAAAAUCAUAUUUAUUUUAUUUUUAAAUAAACUGAUAAAUUAUGUCAUAGAAUACAAAUAUCACAUGAAUAUUUCUAGUUAGAAAUUAAAAUUAAAAAUAUUCUCCUUGGCGAUAAACAAAACAGCAACUGUGUCAGAUGCUGGGGGAUGAAGACUUUCUCCCCUCCAUUACUCUGGCACAGAAGUCUGAGAAGUUCUGCAAAUUCACUGGGCAUGGGGUGAGGAGUUAAAAAUCCUAUUCUUUCUUUAAGAUCUACCGUCACUAUUGGACCUAUGCCAUAAAUAUGCUGUAUUUACCCAGACAUCUCCUCUAUUUAUUUGGUUUUAGUCACAGAAUGAGCAGUUUUUACCCUCUAUGAGGUGCUACACUUAAAACUCUUCAUCUGCUACUCAGUAUAUUUUUUUGUUGAUAGAGUUUGCAUGAAAUAUGUGUUUCUUUGACCCUCCACUGAGGUAAAACAUAGUUGACAGCUUGCCUUGCCUUUCCAGCUGCAAGCAGAACUGAGAUUACCAAACCAUUCCUCCCAGUUGACUUCUGAAGGGUGCACUAGGAAUAGUUUUUUGUUGUGACUUAGGGGUUCCAAGUGUUCUCCCUUCCACCGUGGGCCAUCAUAAUGCCUAAAGCACCAUCCCUCUGAGGACAGUAGUGAUCUUGAUGUGCCAAUGGAAGAUGAAAGGGAAAUCCCCUCAGCUAUUUAUCACUCAUAAACGUCUUAAUUCAAACUAGUUGGCCAUAAUUUUAAAACUUGUCCUUAAAUUCUUUAAUACUCUUACCAUCAAACAGUGGGAUUUAAUUCUCCUUUCCUUGAAUAUAGGGCAGCCUUAGUGACUCACUUAAAUGAGCACAAUUAGGCAGAACUGACACUGUGUGGCUUUUCAAACAAGGGUAGGGAAGGCAACACAGCCUUUGCCUAAAACUCAUUCUCUCUCUCUCUCUCUCUCUCUCUUUCUCUCUCUGUAUGCAUAUUUGGAAUCCUGAGCCAACAUGUAAGAAAUUCAGCUACUCUGAAGCUACCAUGCUGGAAAGGCCAUGUGGAGAAAAACAUGGACAUAAAGAUGCUUGGGCUCUAGCUGUUUCAGCCUUCAGCUGUCUGAGACUUCCUAGUCUAGGCACCAGGCAUGUGAAUGAAGAUCCUUCAGAGAAUUCCAGCCUUUAAGCUGCCCCAGCUGCUGCCAAGUGAGACAGAGAUGAGCUGUCCCUGCUGAGCCCUAAAGCUGCAGAUUCAUGAGCAAAAUAAAUGUUGUUGUUUUAAGCCA
ensembl:lncRNA